AGAGUUUGAUCCUGGCUCAGAACGAACGCUGGCGGCAGGCUUAACACAUGCAAGUCGAACGCCCCGCAAGGGGAGUGGCAGACGGGUGAGUAACGCGUGGGAACGUACCCUUUACUACGGAAUAACUCAGGGAAACUUGUGCUAAUACCGUAUGUGCCCUUCGGGGGAAAGAUUUAUCGGUAAAGGAUCGGCCCGCGUUGGAUUAGCUAGUUGGUGGGGUAAAGGCCUACCAAGGCGACGAUCCAUAGCUGGUCUGAGAGGAUGAUCAGCCACAUUGGGACUGAGACACGGCCCAAACUCCUACGGGAGGCAGCAGUGGGGAAUAUUGGACAAUGGGCGCAAGCCUGAUCCAGCCAUGCCGCGUGAGUGAUGAAGGCCCUAGGGUUGUAAAGCUCUUUUGUGCGGGAAGAUAAUGACGGUACCGCAAGAAUAAGCCCCGGCUAACUUCGUGCCAGCAGCCGCGGUAAUACGAAGGGGGCUAGCGUUGCUCGGAAUCACUGGGCGUAAAGGGUGCGUAGGCGGGUUUUUAAGUCAGAGGUGAAAUCCUGGAGCUCAACUCCAGAACUGCCUUUGAUACUGAAGAUCUUGAGUUCGGGAGAGGUGAGUGGAACUGCGAGUGUAGAGGUGAAAUUCGUAGAUAUUCGCAAGAACACCAGUGGCGAAGGCGGCUCACUGGCCCGAUACUGACGCUGAGGCACGAAAGCGUGGGGAGCAAACAGGAUUAGAUACCCUGGUAGUCCACGCCGUAAACGAUGAAUGCCAGCCGUUAGUGGGUUUACUCACUAGUGGCGCAGCUAACGCUUUAAGCAUUCCGCCUGGGGAGUACGGUCGCAAGAUUAAAAC
rnacentral:rRNA from 1 species